UGAGUUCCAGGUGGAAGUCGUUACUCGUUAAUUAAACACAGUUAAGUGUGAAACAAUGACGCAGCUUCUGUAAGACCAACACGACACCGAACGGGCCGCUCGCUGUGAAAGAAACAAGUCUGUUGUUUUUAUUUAACAGACAGACAGACAGACAGGUAAUUUGAAUUAAACAACCCGUUUACUCAGUGAUGUUUGCUAACGUUAGCUUGGAGGUCGGCUAACGUGCUAAGCUAGCUGAUGAAGACGUUUGUAAAUAAACAAACAAAGAGAAAGAAGACUGUCAACAAACAAACAAUUUAUAAAAACAACAAAUACAGUUGGACAUCAGUGGACAUCUCCAUGAAAUAAAGGGGAACCGUCAACGGACCGGAUGUUUAAGCGCUCCAGACGCCAACCGUGUCCAAUCGGUUUGGAUCCGCGAUUCAUGGCUCCCCUCGUCCUCCCAUCCAACCGGGUCCACUGAGACAAACCCCUCACCAAUGGAGCUGAAACUCCUACACGCGACCUGCAGUCUCCCCCGUCCUCACCCUCAUGGCCGGGUGGAGGCCCCCGAGGGUCUGUUUCACUACAAUGGCGCCUUGCUUCAAUGAAUGAUCCCUUCCUCCAGUCCUGUCUGAGACCCUCGUCUUACACGUGUAAAACAAACCCAAAGGAUGUGUUCAGGCUUCCUUUGAGUGACCGUCAGUGUUUUACAAAAUAAUUAUUACCGCGAAAAACUAAACAAAGACGGACGUUAAAUAUGGACUAACAAGCUCCUUGUGAAUGUCUGGUGGGGUCCAUGUCGAUGCUAGUUAAAGGAUUAGUGGCGUCCAUGUGUUCCCAUGGUCUCUGUCUUCAGACAACAAGAGCCGAUAUCACAC
ensembl:lncRNA